rnacentral:lncRNA from 1 species
CACUUCAAUACCGCCACAUUGGAGGUCCAUGACCUAAUGAGUCCAUGGCCAUCUCGACCAUGAAGAGGGGGUUAUAUAGUUCCAAGUUCACAUAUUUCCUGGAUAAGACACUCUUUCGAAUGUAUGCUGAACUCCUCGAGUACGCACGAAGUAUAUUCGCAUCAAAAAAUGUACUUCCGACUAACGUCAAUAUGAAGGCAA